rnacentral:rRNA from 1 species
CCAAUAGCGUAUAUUAAAGUUGUUGCCGUUAAAAAGCUCGUAGUUGAAUUUCGGGAUCAGUAGGUUGGUCAUGCCUCUGGUAUGUACUGGUCUCACUGGUUCCUCCUUCCUGAUGAACCGUAAUGCCAUUAAUUUGGUGUUGCGGGGAAACUGGACUGUUACUUUGAAAAAAUUAGAGUGUUUAAAGCAGGCUAACGCUUGAAUACAUUAGCAUGGAAUAAUGAAAUAGGACGAUCGAUCCUAUUUUGUUGGUUUCUAGGAUUGACGUAAUGAUUAAUAGGGAUAGUUGGGGGCAUUAUUAUUCAAUUGUCAGAGGUGAAAUUCUUGGAUUUAUUGAAGACUAACUACUGCGAAAGCAUUUGCCAAGGAUGUUUUCAUUAAUCAAGAACGAAAGUUAGGGGAUCGAAGACGAUCAGAUACCGUCGUAGUCUUAACCAUAAACUAUGCCGACUAGGGAUCGGAUGAUGUUAAUUUUAUAAUGACUCAUUCGGCGCCUUACG